AGAGUUUGAUCCUGGCUCAGAUUGAACGCUGGCGGCACGCUUAACACAUGCAAGUCGAGCGGAAAAGAUUCUAUUUUACUACAAGGCAUCGAGCGACGGACGGGUGACUAAUGCUUAAGCAUCUGCCCAGUUGAGGAGAACUACUGUUGGAAACGACUGCUAAUACCGAAUACGCUCCUUUCUAUAAUGGGAUGGAAGAAACAGGGGGACCUUCUUGACUCUCACCAUUGGAUGAACCAACUUGAGAUUAGCUAAAUGGUGAGGCAAUGGCUCACCCAUGCGACGAUCUCUAGCUGGGCUGAGAGGAUGAUCAGACUCACUGGAACUGAGACACGGUCCAGACUCCUACAGCUAGGCAAUCUUGGGGAAUAUUGCACAAUCGGAGGGAACCCUGAUGCAUGCAUGCCGCGUGUCUGAAGAAGGCCUUACGCUUGUAAAGGACUAUUCAAUGCCGAGCAAGGUAAUAAGUUUGAAAUGACUAUUAUUUGACGUUAACCAUCCAAUAAUUACCAGCUAACUCCGUGCCAACACACCUAAGGAAUACGGAAGGUGCGAGACGUUAAUCGCAAUUACUGGACGUAUGGCGCCUGAUUGUGGUCAAUUCAGUCCGAUGUGAAAUCCUGGUAUCAGCCUUGGAAUGUCCUUGGACACAGUUUGACUAGAGUACUGUAAAGGGCUGUAGAAUUGCAUAAAUAUUGUUGAAUUGCAUCCAAAUCUGAAGGAAUACCGGUGGCGAAGGCGGCCCCCUGGACAGAUACUGACACUGAGAUUGUAAAGCAUGGCUAGCAGACAGCAUAGAUACCUUGGUAGUACUCUCCGUAAUCGAUGUCUACUUGGAGGUUGCUCUCUCGAAGAUUGGCUGUCGGAGAUAACGCGUUAAGUAGACCCCGUGUGGAGUGCGGUCGCACGAUUAAAACUCUAAUGAAUUGACGGGGGGCCGCACACGCGGUGGAGCACGUGGUUUAAUUUGAUGCAAUGCGAAGAACCUUACCUCAUGUUGACAUCCAUAGAAUCUUCCAUAGAUGGAGGAGAUCCUUCGGGAAUUAUGAGACAGGUGGUGCAUGGCUGUUGUCAGCUUGUGUUGUGAAAUGUUGGGUUAAGUUCCGCAACGAGCGCCACCCUUAUCCUUGUUUGCCAGUGAGUCAUGUCGGGAAUCUCACGGAGACUCCCGGUGAUAACCCGGAGGAAGGUGGGGAGGACGUCAAGUCAUCAUGGCCCUUUCGAGUAGGGCUCCACACGUGUUCCAAUGGCGCAUACAGAGGGCGGGGAACUUGCGAGAGUGAGCGAAUCCCGCAAAGUGCGUUGUAGUCCGGAUUGGAUUUUGCAAUUGGAUUCCAUGAAGUGGGAAUCGUUAGUAAUGGUAGAUCACAAUGCUCCGGUGAAUACGUUCCCGGCCUUUGUCCACACCGCCGGUCACACCAUGGGAGUGGGCGGCAAAAGAAGUAGGUAGUUUACCUUUAGGGAGAACGCUUCCCACUUUAUGGUUCAUGAGUGGGGUGAAGUCGUAACAA
rnacentral:rRNA from 1 species